UGAGGAAUAUUGGUCAAUGGGCGAGAGCCUGAACCAGCCAAGUAGCGUGCAGGAUGACGGCCCUAUGGGUUGUAAACUGCUUUUAUAUGGGAAUAAAGUGAGGGACGUGUCCCUUAUUGCAUGUACCAUAUGAAUAAGGACCGGCUAAUUCCGUGCCAGCAGCCGCGGUAAUACGGAAGGUCCAGGCGUUAUCCGGAUUUAUUGGGUUUAAAGGGAGCGUAGGCUGUUUGUUAAGCGUGUUGUGAAAUGUAAGAGCUCAACUUUUAGAUUGCAGCGCGAACUGGCAGACUUGAGUGCGCACAACGUAGGCGGAAUUCAUGGUGUAGCGGUGAAAUGCUUAGAUAUCAUGACGAACUCCGAUUGCGAAGGCAGCUUACGGGAGCGCAACUGACGCUAAAGCUCGAAGGUGAGGGUAUCGAACAGG
rnacentral:rRNA from 1 species